rnacentral:rRNA from 1 species
UCCCAUUUCUUUAAGAAAGUAAGAUCCCUGAGAGAUGAUCAGGUAGAUAGGUCAGGAGUGGAAGUACAGUGAUGUAUGGAGCGGACUGAUACUAAUCGAUCGAGGACUUAACCAAU